UUGUAGAAUGAAAUAAGAGAUAGAUAGCACCCUUGAAAGGAAGGUAAGUGCAUCAUAAACCCUGCACCCCACCCAUGAGAAUUUCACUGAAAUUUUCUCUCCAAUAAUUUU